CCACCUUUGGCAUGUCAUAAAUAUAUAGUUUUUUGUAAUUCAUGUCAGCAUCUUGUUGUUGGAUACGUUGCCAUCAUAUACAAAACCAUUUUGGAACUCACAUGAUAAAUAGCAAUUGUGUUGUUUAUGGUUAUUUCAAAUGUCUCAAUGUGUUGCCAUGUCUGUUUUACAUUACAGGAGCCUAUCCUGCGACAAAUGCUAAAAAGAUUGCAGAAUGUGAAAUCCACCCUGACGUUGAAACUAUCAACACCCAUGCACAGUCAAGCUUCUGUUGUCAAGAAAAGACGACUUCAGUUCCAGCAAACCGACAAAGAGGCUGAGUCUGCUACUGGUUCAAUUGAAACAACUCAGAUGACUGAUCCCCCAGAGAGCACUUGUACAGACCUGGACAAUAAUAACACAGUGCACGAUCCUCAGUCAAGAAAAAUGCAGGCCAGACAUUAUAAGGCUCUUCAGGAGCUCUUCAAGAAAACAAAACCAAACAAAGAGGACAUCGCUCAUCUAUUGGACCUGGAAUUUGAGUCUAGGAGGUCUUUCAUAGAGUGUUGUUCAGACAAAGCGGAGCGGGCCAAGGCAGUCUUGGAGGCUUAUCCUUGCUUUUCAGAGUGUCAACAUAUUAUGGAUGAAUUGGGGCGAAUCAUUGAGGCUGACAACAAGAGGUACUCAGACCAACUGAAAGCUCGAUGGGGAAAGUUUUACCAAAAUGCACUGUUCUUUGGAGCGUGGAAGAAGGCAUUGAAACCACCUAUGGGUCUGGAUGAAUGUAAGCACAAAACAAAUUCAAAUAUGUACAGUACAUCUCAUCUUUGAGGUUGGGCAUGAUCUUUCUAGGUGUAUGAGUUGUAGUUUUCUUUCAAUUGUUUUGACUGAACAGGACCUUUUUAGAGCAUGCCCUUUUCCCUGAAUCUCAGCAAACUAGUGGUUGUCACUGGAGGGUUCUAACACCACUACAUUUGUCAUUUGUACAAGUGACCCAUUACAUUGACUUGCAGCUUACUUAGUGCUCUUAUGUAUUCAUAGUUUCAGGGACAUCAUAAAUAUUGCAGAUUAACUCUUACCACUUUGUUUGCAGCUGCACAGGCCAUUGCCUUUAUGGAGGCACUCCCACAAAUGUUCCCUUCCCCAACCGCCCCCCCGAGAAAACUAAAGUCAGCA
ensembl:lncRNA